rnacentral:rRNA from 1 species
AUGAUCGCUUAUGGAUCGGAAUUUGUUGGAUUAGUAUAUAGCACACGUUGCCGUUCCUUGCUUAAUAGACAUGCACUGCUCUGUUUGUCAUGGCCGCUCUGCACUAAAUGUAUGAUGUUUCACUUCAGCCUGAGUCUUCUGUUCAAUAAUUGUUGUUUCUCCCUGAAACAAAACUGGCACUUUGUACGAUUGAUUACUCAGAGAGCCACAAUCACACAAGGAAAUCUAAACAGCCAGCUGGGUAUUGACAAGAAGUACCAAUUUAAGAGGACCGUGAGAGAGCUUGGAGGGAAGAACACACUUGAUGACCAAAUAAACACUUGA